rnacentral:rRNA from 1 species
ACUCAAAGGAAUUGACGGGGGCCCGCACAAGCGGUGGAGCAUGUGGUUCAAUUCGAUGCUACGCGAAAAACCUUACCUGGGUUUGACAUCCCACGCUAUCCUGUGAAAGCAGGAGUUCCCUUCGGGGACGUGGAGACAGGUGCUGCAUGGCUGUCGUCAGCUCGUGUUGUGAGAUGUUGGGUUAAGUCCCGCAACGAGCGCAACCCUCGUCUUUAGUUGCCAGCAUUAAGUUGGGCACUCUAAAGAGACCGCUUGGCUAUAAGCCAGAGGAAGGUGGGGAUGACGUCAAGUCCGCAUGGCCUUUAUAUCCAGGGCUACACACGUGCUACAAUGAGAGGCACAGAGCGUUGCAAGCCAGCGAUGGCAAGCUAAUCGCAAAAAACCUCUCUCAGUUCGGAUAGGAGUCUGCAAUUCGACUCCUUGAAGCUGGAAUCGCUAGUAAUCGUGGAUCAGCACGCCACGGUGAAUACGUUCCCGGGCCUUGUACACACCGCCCGU